rnacentral:rRNA from 1 species
UACAGAGGGUGCAAGCGUUAAUCGGAAUUACUGGGCGUAAGCGUGCGCAGGCGGCUGCUCAAGUCAGGGUGAAAGCCCAGAGCUCAACUCUGGAAUUGCCUUUGAGACUGAGUGGCUUGAGUACGGGAGAGGUGAGUGGAAUUCCCAGUGUAGAGGUGAAAUUCGUAGAUAUUGGGAAGAACACCGGUGGCGAAGGCGGCUCACUGGCCCGUAACGUGACGCUCUGCACGGACAGCGUGGGGAUCAAACAGG